UGGGGAAUUUUGGACAAUGGGCGCAAGCCUGAUCCAGCAAUGCCGCGUGUGUGAAGAAGGCCUCCGGGUUGUAAAGCACUUUUGUCCGGAAAGAAAUCCGUCUGGCUAAUACCCGGACGGGAUGACGGUACCGGAAGAAUAAGCACCGGCUAACUACGUGCCAGCAGCCGCGGUAAUACGUAGGGUGCGAGCGUUAAUCGGAAUUACUGGGCGUAAAGCGUGCGCAGGCGGCUUUGUAAGACAGAUGUGAAAUCCCCGGGCUCAACCUGGGAACUGCAUUUGUGACUGCAAGGCUAGAGUGCGUCAGAGGGAGGUGGAAUUCCGCGUGUAGCAGUGAAAUGCGUAGAGAUGUGGAGGAACACCGAUGGCGAAGGCAGCCCCCUGGGCCUGUACUGACGCUCAUGCACGAAAGCGUGGGGAGCAAACA
rnacentral:rRNA from 1 species